rnacentral:rRNA from 1 species
GACGAACGCUGUCGGCGUGCUUAACACAUGCAAGUCGAACGGAAAGGCCCUGCUUUUGUGGGGUGCUCGAGUGGCGAACGGGUGAGUAACACGUGAGUAACCUGCCCUUGACUUUGGGAUAACUUCAGGAAACUGGGGCUAAUACCGGAUAGGAGCUCCUGCUGCAUGGUGGGGGUUGGAAAGUUUCGGCGGUUGGGGAUGGACUCGCGGCUUAUCAGCUUGUUGGGGGGGUAGUGGCUUACCAAGGCUUUGACGGGUAGCCGGCCUGAGAGGGUGACCGGCCACAUUGGGACUGAGAUACGGCCCAGACUCCUACGGGAGGCAGCAGUGGGGAAUAUUGCACAAUGGGCGGAAGCCUGAUGCAGCAACGCCGCGUGCGGGAUGACGGCCUUCGGGUUGUAAACCGCUUUCGCCUGUGACGAAGCGUGAGUGACGGUAAUGGGUAAAGAAGCACCGGCUAACUACGUGCCAGCAGCCGCGGUGAUACGUAGGGUGCGAGCGUUGUCCGGAUUUAUUGGGCGUAAAGGGCUCGUAGGUGGUUGAUCGCGUCGGAAGUGUAAUCUUGGGGCUUAACCCUGAGCGUGCUUUCGAUACGGGUUGACUUGAGGAAGGUAGGGGAGAAUGGAAUUCCUGGUGGAGCGGUGGAAUGCGCAGAUAUCAGGAGGAACACCAGUGGCGAAGGCGGUUCUCUGGGCCUUUCCUGACGCUGAGGAGCGAAAGCGUGGGGAGCGAACAGGCUUAGAUACCCUGGUAGUCCACGCUGUAAACGGUGGGUACUAGGUGUGGGGUCCAUUCCACGGGUUCCGUGCCGUAGCUAACGCUUUAAGUACCCCGCCUGGGGAGUACGGCCGCAAGGCUAAAACUCAAAGGAAUUGACGGGGCCCCGCACAAGCGGCGGAGCAUGCGGAUUAAUUCGAUGCAACGCGUAGAACCUUACCUGGGUUUGACAUGGAUCGGGAGCGCUCAGAGAUGGGUGUGCCUCUUUUGGGGUCGGUUCACAGGUGGUGCAUGGCUGUCGUCAGCUCGUGUCGUGAGAUGUUGGGUUAAGUCCCGCAACGAGCGCAACCCUUGUUCACUGUUGCCAGCACGUUAUGGUGGGGACUCAGUGGAGACCGCCGGGGUCAACUCGGAGGAAGGUGGGGAUGACGUCAAGUCAUCAUGCCCCUUAUGUCCAGGGCUUCACGCAUGCUACAAUGGCUGGUACAGAGAGUGGCGAGCCUGUGAGGGUGAGCGAAUCUCGGAAAGCCGGUCUCAGUUCGGAUUGGGGUCUGCAACUCGACCUCAUGAAGUCGGAGUCGCUAGUAAUCGCAGAUCAGCAACGCUGCGGUGAAUACGUUCCCGGGGCU